CAUUCAUUAUUCAACAGGGUGACAAAGCUCAUUUUUAUUGCAUCAUCUUGGAAAUAGGUGUGGCUUUCAGGUAUGGCUCUGACUAUCAUGAAGGAACCCCCCACUUCUAAAUUUGCCUCUACACCACUGCUGCCAGCCUUCAUUUACAUGGACACUAGGAUUCUGCUUUAGGGCCUACCAUCUACUGCCACCUCUGAAGAACGAAGAAGGGCCUUUUCAGUGGUGGCCUCCCAGUUAUGGAACAAACUCCCCCCUGAGUCCCACUUGAUGCCAACUUUACCAUCUUUUCAGUGCCAGAGCAAUCCUUACAGCUGUGACCUUGUGGAUGGAGACUGGCAAGCAUCUUGUCUUCUCAGCAGUGCUUGCAGCUGCCAUGGAGGGGACCUGGGCAGCAGCUCUUCAAAGGACUCAGCAGCUUCUUCAGAAAGAGGUUAGGGAAGGGAAGAGGAGACCUGCAUCCUGUCGAACCAAGAGCCCCAUCCAUGCCCUCUGCCAGCUAGGCAGACUGAGAGGUAUGUCUGGCUUAAAUUUGUGGAAACAGAGGAAUAGGAAGCUGUAAAAGCAUCUGUUCUCCUCCUGAUCCAAGCAGGGCACUGGAUAGACAGAGACCUCUGAGACUGGAGGGUGCUGUAUACAAAGCUUUCCUUAGGUUUGUGGACGUCAACAUUCUUAAAUAUGUAUUCACUCUCCCUCUCUUUCUCUCUUUAAAGGAGGUUGGGAUAAUAUCAGGGAUGGAGUCACAUCCCACUGAAGUCAUGGUGGGCACCACAAGUAGGAGCAAUCACCUCCCACCAGUUUCUCUGACAAUGCAGAUCCUAUUGAUUUCAAAGAGAAGCAUGAACAUUUUAUUUGGUUGAAUCCACCUCAUUCAGCCCCAUCCCAUGUCAUGGACAAUGUUCUUUGAGUGAGUUGAUAGCUGGGGAGAGAAAGGGGGUGACGGGACUCUUGCAUCCCUAGAAAUCACACCUCAGGCACCAGAGCAUCCAUAGCUGUAUCAGCACUAAUGAAACAUGGUGCAGUCAAAGGGAGGCAUCCCAUAAUCUUUUGCAGCACUGCAGGUCUGUGCAGCCUGAGAGUGACACCCAUUGACUUUCCUGGCAUUCUUUAGGGAAAGCUAGCGCAAUGAAGAACAGAAAUAAGAUUAAGGGUAAUAGGAAUGGAUGUGGCAGUCCAGGGCCAGAGACGAGAAGCAUUUUCACCAGGGAUAUCUACAUUGUAGUUAUGGGUCCAUGGCAGGUAGAAAUUCAAUAGGUGGUGCUUCUCCCAUCAUUGUAUUUCCAUGCAUGCCUGAUGAAUUUCUGUCUGUCACACAGCCGUUCAAAGGCACAGGAGGUUUGCCGGAAGCAACAUUAUUGAACAUUUACCAUGUCGAAAUUGCCCCUUGGCAGCCUCCCAGUCAAUCCCCCUAUUCUGUAAGUUUUCAGAUGUGCAACGGAUGGAAGCCCUUGUGUUUCAGGGAAUCAGCCAAUCUUUAACUGCCGGCUUUUGCAGUCACAAGGUCUUUCAGUUCAAACAAAGUAUCCCAGAACUGCCUCUUCUGAAGAUUAUUGCUUUUUCCGUGGAAGCUUCUGGCACUGUAAUUCCAUUGGAGACAGCUCUGGAGAGGAUGAUGGUCUUGAAAAGAUCAUGUCUGAGUUCAUACUUAAUUUCUGUGUUCAUACUUAAGCUUUGGCUUCUGGCCAAAGUAUUGUCUGUUUGUAUGUACAAAACUGUAAAGAACUUUUUGGUUUUUUUUUCACGUUAAAAGUAUGCCUGGAACUUGUGACAAACAAGCAACUAGAAGGUUGUUACACCUGAAGAGUAACAUGAGCAGGUGCCAUUAUUUUUAGCAGGCGGGUAAUAACUACUCUCCACUGGUUCUGUACGACAUAAUUGCAUGCCUUAAUUGCCGCUUGCAGUUUUGUGGGUCUUGUGGUGUAUGAAGAAACUAUUUUAAAGGUAUAUGUAAGGCAUAAGCUCUAUUGAUUUGUAGUACACAAAAGCAAUAAACAGCUGCUAGCUUUGAUUAAACCUGAUGUGAAGCUGAAGAGCUUAAUCAAUCUCUAAAGCUGUUCUGAAUAUAUCACAAAGCAAUACUGAUUAUUGCUAUUAUAUGGCAAAGUAGGGCAUCCAGAAAAAGAAGACGAAGAAAAAGAUUCCCCCCUUCCUUUGGGAAUGAUGGAUUGUAUAAUCCUGCUGUCUUUCACACUUACACCUGGAGAGGUUGCUGCAGAAGCAAGCUAUGGUGACAAACCGAGCGUAAGAUGCUUCAGGUAUUGUUCAAGGAUUAGUAUUCGUAUUCCUUUUUAGGGCUGAGCUGAAAUCCAGGAGUCUGCUUUUCACAAAGGUUUUCUUCUCCCUUUGAAAAGUGUUCUCCAUUGAUCUGGGGGGGGGUGUGUGCAGAAGCAUUCUUGCUGCAUGAGGGCACUCCCUCCUGCCCCGCACUCCCUUCCCAGGAUCUGGCAGGGCUGGACUUGCAGAAGGAACCGGGUUAGUUAUACCUUGGUUUCUGUUUCCAAAAGUUGUCUUUUGCCCAAGAACAAGAAUGAAGUUCAGGGUGUGCAGGCCAGCCUUGCUCCAGCUGCCACCACGUCUUCUCACUGUGGCUAGUGGCAGCAUCCUGUCCCACCUACUGACCUACCUGCUUAGUUAGCCACCUGGCUGGCUGCCUUCUCAUUGGCCCAGCUGGCUGCCUGUUCAUUCCCCCCUUGUGCCCCAGCCUUGGGGCUCCAUGAGAGGUUGGCUGACCUCUUGUGACAGUUCUUCUGGGCUCUUGGCAUAAUUGCAUAACUGGGGCACAAGGCAGGAGUGACCGAGCAUGUGACUCCUGUUCCAUGCAUUGCGAUUCCAGUCCAGUGUUUUGAUUCAAUAUGGCCAUUCGUAAGACAUACGAUGAGCAAAUGAGGAUGUGGAUUGCUGAGUGGGUGGGCGGAGAGAGACGCGUGGGUGGCAGCAGAACGUAUUGUUUGGGCCUGAUCACAGGACCCGUCAGAACAGUCUUUGUGAUGCCCUUGCUGAGAACCAGCAGGGAGUGGGUCUAGUCAGGCAGCCCAAGGAGAUGGGAAUGGGGUGGGUGAAGGCUGAGGUCAUAGAAUGGAAUAUACCCUUUCAUACUGUAAAUAGAUACUCAAAUUACUGACUGCCCUUCCAUGUUAAACAAAUAGAGAGGAAAGGAAAGCUUUGCAUGAAUGUAUUUGGAGGUACCAGAGUGAGAAAAGCUGAACUAGGCACUUCUGGUCCUUUGUUGAAGUGGCUUCUUCAGUAACACCUCUUUGUAGCUCAGUGGUAGAGCACCUGGGCGUCCAUCCUUGGCAUCCCCAGGUAUGGGUAGGAACUUUCCCUGUCUGCAGCACUUGAGAGCUGCUACCCAUCAGCAUCAACAAUACUGAGCUAAACAGACCAGCACUAUAAGGAGCUUCUGCUGUUUCUCACUGGAAUGAAUCUUUGUCCAGAGAUCAGGAAAUAAGCAUAUUCAUUUUCCUUUGCCAAAAGUAGAAAGGUAAGAAACUCAUUUGAAAUGCCAUGAAAAUAACACACAUAAAGAUCCUAUCUGAUGUUCCCGAGCCAACUCAAGACUUCUGCUGAUUCGCAGCCCAAAUGAAUGCAAACAACUAAGUAAUAUGUGAUUUCUCCUGGUAUUUUGACAUCUCUAGAAGAGAUCCACAAAAUUGAUGCCCCCGUCAUUGUGCAUGAUUAAUAGUCCAUGCAUUCCAGUCCAGUGUUUUGUGUUUCAUAUGGAGAUACAUAUGAGGAUUCUUGUCUUCUGCCCCAUUUGUGUGACGUGUGGUCCUUUGGUCUCUGCAAAGGUGUCACAGAAGCCAGAGGAAAGAUCAUCUCUCCCUCCCUCCCCUCCUCCCUCUCUCUCUCUCAGGCCAAGAAAGAGCUCCAGUCUUGGAGGGAGAGAUCCAACCUCCCUCACCAGCCCAGUGUUGGAACCUGACACUGGUUUGAAUGAUUUCUUUCCCAUUGAAAACAAUGGGGGAAUAGUUCAAAGUAAAAGAAAGAACAAAUGAAUGAAUGGAUGGAUGAAUGAAUGGAAGGAAGGAAGGAAGAAGAGUGGCAAAUCCCAUUCUAAUCUCCCAUCUACCAUGCUGGCAGGAGCACAACUGAGUUUAAGGAAAAAAUCAGAGUACUCCAACUUUGCUAGGGAGGCUGCUAUGUCCUACUUUGCAGAAGACAGUCUUCUAUUUGGGCUGCCAGAGAGUGGUUUGAAAAAAUUCUUUAUCUGAAGGGUUAUAGAAACCAAAUCUGUUUUUAAAAUAAGGCAUUAUAAAAGUGUUUGUCCUUCAGCACUCAGCACCUGGGCAGCAGGCUAAGAGGCAGGUGACAGGUAACUGGGUCACACUCUUCCCCCCGGGUAAGUCUUCUUGUAUUUCUAGUUGCAUUAAAAUGAUCUGUACGUUUGCACUUACACAUAUAGAUGAACAUAUGCAAAUGUCAGGCAAAUCAAUAGCAUCUUUGACUUCCUUUCUGGCAAUUCAUAAGCUGCCAUCCCAGAGAUUCAGAGAAAGAAUAAGAAUAUGACCUUAUCAGAGGCCUGGGAGCACAACAUUGCUAUUCCUGUAGGAGUGCCAGUUAAAUUAGGGUAAUUAGUUUAAGGCCAUUCACUGAACCCAAGGCUGAGGUAGGAGUUGUACUUUGUAAUUUGAAGCCCGGCUCAGUGGCAUUCAGGCUAGGCCCAUCCCGGACUCCAAGCCAGUGCUGGUGUUUUCAAUUUUUAGGUCAGUUCCUUUUGUUGUGGUAACCACUGUGUUAACCUGUGUGUCACUGUCUUCCCUAAAUGGAAAAGUGUUGUAAAGCAGCAUUGUUAGUUUGGAUUUGUGAUCUAUGCUUUAAAGGGACUCUUCUGUUGAAAAGUCACAUUACUUUGAGAAAACUGUUUGCUUUCCAUUGUUGCAGGUGACACUUAAGACUACCAUAAGUGAAAGAGAUUGGAGAGAAAAAUUGUCUCUGUUUUCCCCUCCUUUGUUUCGCUGCUUCUUUUAGUAACACUGCAUCUAGACGUGUUUUGUCAGUCUCCUCACCUUUAUGCAGUCCGUUCACCUUGACGGAGAUCCUCUGGUGUUCGUGUCAGUGGGGGAAGAUCUGCCAGAUGCAGCACAAUGAUCCAAAUUCCUCUGUGCUCAGAGCUGUCCUUGCUGCCGAUGGCACCAGAAACAGCCAUGUCUUCUGCACUGAGGCAGGGACACGAGUGCGAUUGCAGUGCUGGAUUUCACGGGUGAGGUAGAAAUUGGCAUUGUCUGAAAUAGGUUCAUGGCAUGGAGACAAAAUCGAAAUUUACAUGGGCUUCAGUGGGCAUAUAAUUUUAUGUGUGUCCUGAUCCUCGUUACAAAAGAGGCACCAUGACACAAAUAGUCUGAGAGCAGCUUGGUACUUUUCCACCCCAAAUAAACCCAAAGCCUAUGUGCAGUUGGUCCAAUGGUGAAUUUUGAAGGGCAGACACUCUUUGGGCAUGAUAAGGGUUGUUGUUGUGGGGAUAAGAUGGAGGAGGAGAAUGAUGUAAGCUGCCUUGAGCCCUUUGUAGGAAAAAGGCAGGAUAUAAAUCUGGAAAAAAAGUAACCCUGAUGUAAAAAGUUCAUGAUCUAAGCAACAAACCAUUAAGAGGUUCUAUGUCAGCAUGGUCUCCAUCUCCCCCACUCCAGACUUUCACUGGUGGCACAUAUCCCAUCCUCUGCCAUGCCUAAUUCAACCUAAUUCAAUCCCGAGGUGCAUUGCUCCCUGUUUACAUCACCCGCCUCUUCCUCAUUGAUCUACAACGUUCUCAGAGCGUGCCCUCUGUCACCCCUCACCUUUCUCCUCCUCCUACCUCUUUCAGCAGAAUCUGCCCUUUCAGUGUGGAAUAAGGGGUCUUUUAAUUUCAUCUCUCCUGUCCUUUGGUGUCUCCUCUGCUGGCGAGGCUCUGCAUCACUAUUUUUUCCAGAUGGGUGAUGCUGUGCUGGGCCUGCUCCUCCUCUGGAGACAGCUGCUGGGGUAGAAGAAGCUGGAGAGCAGAUGGCUGUUGAGAUACAUUGUCCAUGCCUUCCUGCCCGAGGCCCAGUUCUGAGUGCAUUCCUUAGGAACAGUAGUCCACACUGCUUCCUGGGACACUCUCCACCAUGCAGCACAACUCCUGGUCUCCCUGCAGCGGGGCCAUCAGUAGGACAUCUGGGGCUGGAAAAAUAUGUCAUGGUGCUUGAUACAAGGUGGGAUGCUUGCUGGGGCAUGGAGGAUGGGUGUGAAGGUGGACUGUUGCCCCUGAAGUCCAAGACAGAAGGUUUGCUUGCAAGAGAGAGCAUCUGGUGGUCCAGGAUGGGAGUAGAGGGUGCACAAUGUAUCAGGAGCAAUGCUGGAUGUGCUUGCCCAGGCAGGAUAUGACUCUGCUCUUUUGGAGUAGUUAUGAGCAGGAGAUGUAGGCUCUUGAGAUGGAGAAGGGGUGCCCUUCAUGAGACAGGAGUGCACUUUUGCUGCUUGGAAGGGGUAGUCCCAACUCCCAUGGUGUAGCCCAGUAUCAUGUCCCAGUGAAUGAGUAGUGGCCACACUGGUUUGCCAUAGCAAGGCAUGGUUCUGGGGGUUUCCCUAGAGUGCUCAUCACAAUCUCUUUGAGCUCUUCUUGAGAGCAUACAGUUAAUCCUUGUACUGCUCUGGGGUGCAUCAAUAGCCCUGCUUUUUCAGAUGCUCUCAAUUGGAAGAGAUUGCCAUGGCCUGUAGACCUCAGGUACACCUGCACCUCUGGUCUGGCUCAUAGGUGAAUAAAUGUGCCCAGUUCUUCUUUGGUCCAAACAUAGGACUGCGCUUUCCACUGGGAGCUGAUGCGCUUCCAUCAAGGGAGGACUGCUGAGAAGGAGCUGGGAAGCUGCAGUGCUUUGGAGAAUUGGCUGGGUGUUGGGGACUCAGCGCCAGCAUCCUCUCCAGUAUCCAUUCUGCCUGGGAGAGCAGGCACCUGUGUAAGGGAUGGGCCAGGGUGUCUGGCUGCAUCUAGCUUUCCAGAGGCAGCCCUUGUCUGAACUAGCCUGGCUUUCAGGAAACGGAUUGUGUCAGGGAUGUUGUGGUGGGGGGAAAGGCAAUGGCAGGACAUGGCUUGUUCACAGUCCCAAGGUAUGUCGUAGGUGACAUAUGACUGGAGAAGAGUACGGAAGGCAGAGUCAAGGACAGUGUUCUUUCAGCAGAACAUUUAAUGCCCAGAUGUGUGUCUGAAACAGUGACUUUAGAGACAGGAGGGGAAUGCUUUUGCAUCCGUAGGAAUUGCAGCAGGCGGAGAGCAGUGCAGAGGGAGCUGAUGUGCUUCUCUAUAGCAGGAAAACAAGAACUGGACAUCCGGAGAAAAACAGAGAAGCGGGAGGUGGAUGGGAGCAGACAGCAGCCCAUAGGGAUGGAGCAAGCAGUGAUGCACCUGUGACGAGGUGGAGAUGGAUGGUAGAGGCUGGAUGACUGCAGAGGCUCCUAUAGUGACUGCUCUUUCCAGGGGACUCUGGUAGUUGAACACCUGAACUGUGGCAACUGCAUUCUUGGGUUUGGAUGUCAUGAGAAGCCAUCCAUGGUAAGCCGAAAGUAUAGUAAAAACCACAGUUUCGUAUUGCAGUUUCUUAUCUCACUGAAGUCCCACAAAUGAGGUUUUAUGACAUGACCAAGAAGAAGCAGAAGAAGAAGAUUAAAAACCACCUUGGCUCAUUCAGUCAUUAAAACCCAGUUGUUGUAACAGUUCCCACAGCCAUGCCCCCAAGGACAGCUCCAAACCAGUUCUAGUUGUUUUUGUCCCCAUCAAGACCUGGUCUUUCCCAAAGCUUGAUCACUCAUUCAGGACUAAAUGACCUCCAGAUACUUUGCAUUGCAACUUAAGAUAGCUCAGAACCAUAUAGUGUUGCUGGGAAAAUCCACUAUUUUCCAGCUACUGAGAAGACCUCAACCCAGCUCAGGGGGAGUAGGAAAUCUAGAAGGUUCUAGCAGAUAAUGUUAGCAUCCCUGCUAUUGAAAGCAAACAAACAAUGUGCAUUCCAUUUAUUAAAACCAACCAAAAUGUCAUCAAAUUGUGCAUGAAUUGGGGAAUUCAAGAGGUUGCUCACCAUUCUGAGAUGUUUUGGUUGAUAGUAAUAAAAGGUAUUGUCCCCCUCCUAUGAAGUUUGGCUUUUUUAAAAACUAAAAAUUUAGUUCUCCUGUCCAGAGAAACAAUGGAGUUAUACUAAAUAUUCAGAAAGGAAAUGAAUAAAAACCUAGCUUCAUGAUGAUUUCUUCCAUAUGUCCUGAUUUCUCAAGCAUUGAUGCAAAGUGUUAAUACCUGUGGCUUAUAAUUUCAAGGUGAUUAUAAGAAUGCUACCUGUCCAUUAAUCAUAGUUUGGUAAUUGCUCAAUAUAUCAUUAAUACAAAUGAUAUGCAAAUUAUAGUCACAAAAAGAUGUAGAUUAACCUUCCAGCACAUUACUUUUGAAGGGUUCUCCCUGCUACAGACCAAGACAAAGAUACCCAUAUCAUAGAAAAUUCAGAUUAGUAUAAUAUCUGGAUAUAGGAUGAAUUUGAAAAUUGUCUUCUGAGAGAGAUUAGUGUCAGUCCGUAGGAUAUAUGGCAGCUGCCUUCCUUCACCCUGCUGUGUGAGAUCCCUUUCAGUAGAGGUUGGACCUGAAACUCUCUGCAUUCAAAGCAUAUUCUCUACCGCUGAGAUACGGCUUCUUCUAAGAGGUGUGAGGCAGCAGAUGAUGCAAAGCAAUAUGCCAUAUACCCAAUGCACAAGUAACGUGUCUUUUUUGGAUAAUGGAAUGUUCAUACAUCCCAGUAAUCUUCCACAAAUGGGAAGCAAGAUCAGAAUCAGUUGGAUUUUUGGACUCAUAAGCCGCUCUUGUGCCAUAUGGAUCUUUGGAUGAUAUGGGAACCAUCAUAGCUGAAACAUAUUUAUGUCUAUGGACAAGAAACCCUCUAAGUCUUCAUGGCAUUACUGGCAGAGGAAGAAACCAUCUGCCAGUUUCCAUUUCUUUCCAUGUCUCAUUUUUCCCUUCUUAACAUCCCUUUAUCCCAUUUAUUCAUGUUUGCAAGCAGUUUCCACUAAUAAAACACCUUUAUAUGAUUUUUUCACUAAUAUAGGGUUUUUGCGUGUGGCCAAAUAUGUGCAUUUUUAUGGCUUGUUUGACUAGAGAAUUACAUUGCAAAAUUCAGAAAAGUAAGAAUGCUAAAGGAUAUUUGUGUUUCAGUUCCUAUACUGGUUUUGGAAAUGUAAAUUCAGAGGGUUCAUAUUAAGAUGCAUACCACAUUUUUUUCUCCUCCCCCAUACUGGGACUAAUUAAAUAGGUCAGCAAAGCUAUGAUGGAGCUCAAUUAUAACACAUCCAUAGUUUCAUAAAUAGCUAGAUUCUGUUUGGGGUUACAAAUACAGCAGGAUAUCCAUGGAAAGAGUUAAAAAAUAUCCCUGGUAGUCAUAAAAAAAUUGAGCUGACAUUUAAGCCCAAGUGACAGAUUUUCUUUCGAGCUCCCACACAGACGAGUGCCAUAACCCAUCAUAUUAAGCUGGCAGUGAGAAAGAACAGCAACAAAAGAAAGCAAUAUCGCUUUGCCGGAUUUGUUAUGUCUACAUUGUGCUGAUCUAGUGUGCGUGUGCUCUCUUCAGACAUCAUGUACAGAUGGGCCUGGUUCCUGGUAGACUCCGUGCGACUUGAGGCAUUCUGUCCAAGGUGGCCGUCCUCCAGCUUCAUUCCCAGACAGAUGGGCUGACGGGAACACCUACCAGAGUCCUGCUUAACAAGCAGAGGAUAUAUUCUUUUUGUUGGCCACCUUGCGUCCUUCCCUUUUAUCUCUUAUACGGCAACGUAAUGUGUUCAAUUUUCUGUGAAGGCAACAACUAGCACUGUAUUGAGCGCACAACUGGAGUUAGGCUGCUAUAUUAUUUUCAGCAACAUUUUAAUUACAGGAUUAUUUCUAAUUUUAUUUAUGCACGACUGAAUGAGUUUUGUAUAAAAGGGAUGAGUUCUAAUUGCAGGCUUGCUUAAAAAAUGGGUAUGAACACUUUUCCAUCCUGCUGAUUUCAUUGGGAAAGUUAAAUAUUUCUGGAAAUCAUUCCUUUUGCAAUCAAUGGCACCUAAAACAUGCUUAUUUUUGGCCA